UGUAUUCAGCAACGCAAAUCUGAAGGUUUAAAAAUAAUUGUAGUCCAGAUUCUAGAUGCUUUGGUCUCUACUCCACCAAAAUUGUUUUCUUCGAUCUAAAUUGCAAAAGGGUGUCACAAGUUCACAACACUGUCGAUGAUUUCCAUUGCUGUUAAAUGUUAAUACGAAAGAUCCAGCUGGUUACAUGACAUUGCCACUUCAAAUAAUUUUUUCCUCAGACUUCAAGAUUUGGAUUAAAAUAUGGCAGGCUUGCUACCGGAACUCCUGAUUCAGAUAUUUGCUCACUUGGAUAUUCAUUGUUUAGCUCGUGCUCAAAGGGUGUGUAAAUUGUGGAAUGACGUCAUUUUACAAAAAUUGCCACGUUACUUUACCGAAAUAAGCUGCCUCCCGGAGAAAGACCAGAGAUUGCCUAACAUCGACCCAACCGUGGGUGUACUGCACUCCACGUUACCGAGAGUGCUAAGCAGUAUCACGAAAGUCCUUACGCUCCGCAACUUUAAGCCUACUCAUCUUCGGAUCCGUUCACUUCUUCUCUUGCUACAGUCUAAGGAUGUGACUUUGCUUGUGCUACGUCUAGAAAACUGCAAGGUGGACUAUGAGGAAGCUGUAUUUCCAUGGCUAUGGCACGAAAACAUCAACGAGUUGGAACACCACGACGGCUUGUGCUGUUAUUAUAAUCUCAUCAACUUAUCCCUUCUCUGGAGCAGUCAACGUUGUCGGCGGCUGCAAAUCGUUAAUUAUAAGAUCAAGAACGUUUUCAAUUUCGAACACCUCUUCGGACUGAAUGCGUACCCUAGGUUAGCCAGUAAGAUUGAACUUCCGGUUGUUAUCCAUAAUGUUAUCUUGGAAUGUGGGGUGGAUCGAAGAAGUCUUUUCUGCAAUUUGAUGACGGCUAUAAAUGCUGAAUGCGUUCCGGUCAGCGAUGAAACCCGAAAAAAAGUGGCGACGACGCUCAUCGAUUGUCUCUUGGACCACAGCGGAACGAACCAGCCAAUGCGUUUCCAUGCCCGGCACAGAUUGUUGAUGUUUCGUGUUGUUAUUAAUUUGAACGUCUCACAGGCUGCAGACGUAAGCGGUGCGCCCAGUAGUAUCAGUUCUGCAUCCUUACGACACGAAUUUCCAGCCAAAUGUCGAGCACCAUUUGAACGGCAUGCAGCCGAUCUGCUGUAAAUUGGCCAAGACCAUAAGUUUCGCAUUUGGUCAGAUUGAGCUCUAAGCCUAUAUCAAAACGCGGGAAAGGAUUAGACGUAUAGCUGCAUUAACUUUGUGGGCCGGUCCGGCUAGCGCGACAUCAUCUAAGGACCCCACUGCCACAUCACAAUCUAAGUUUUCGAAAACCGGUAAGGUGGCGAGACCAUAUCCGAAAGGUCCAGCAGGAUCGCCCUGUUGAGCUCCGGGCUUGGAUGACACAUGGAAUGAUCCGCAAGACAAAUGUGACGAGCUGCGGUAAGACUGGCAGAAAUACCGGUAAUACGCGGGAAUUUAGCGCGUACGGCUGAAAGAAGGACAUCGCGACGUAAUGUAUGAACGCAUUACGGAAAUCUAAGUUUGCCACCACCCGUGCGUCGGUGUGCGCCGCUUCCAAAUAAUUACGGACAGCAUACACGGCCCUUCGGCUCCUCCUUUAAUCCCAAAUCCCACUUGCUGAGAACUAAACAUUGCUGCUGCUUCAUCCGCGCACCGGCUGCUUGCACUCUUUGAGAUUAAUCGCCGAAUGGUGUCACCCACUGGCCACUGCAAUCGGUCUCGCGCCGCCAUAUUUCUUUUCCAAGUGGGAUUAAAUUGCACCAAAAAAGUAUGGCCGUAUACCGUCGGGCAAAUCUUUGUACAGCACCAUAUUAAGUAGGUCGGUGAGGGCUAAACAAAGUUCGCUUGUUGUGUCGUCUUUACGGCCCAGGAGGUCCUUGAGGUGUUGAGGGCGCAGGCCAAAUACUUCUCCUGCUAAACCCGAGGGAAAGCUGAACACAGCGGACAUAACUUCUGCUGGCGAGACUGCUGGAGUCAGAACGGUAUUGUCAGGUGGUGGAGGGGAAAUGCCUUCGUCAGGGGCGGUUGGAUGUUUUUCCUGAAGAGAUUCCACCAUGCGAGGAUCUAUUUCAGCAAGUUUAUCUUCAGCCAGCAGCACUCUUAUUGCGCCUUUGACGUUUACAUCCUGCAGCAUGGAGAUUCAACAAAUUUUCAAUGGAGCAUUCGUAUCGGGCAAAAGACGCACAUUUGGACGAAUACGAGGAUUUGAAAGUUGUAGACAUUCUCGGUCUUAGCGACGCCACGCUUACUAUUCUAUCGGGUGUAUCCGACUACAUUUCUGAGGUCAAGGCGUUGCAAGCUGCAAAAUGGGCAAAGCACGUGGCUCCAGUUCCGUGGUAAUCUGGCGGCAUGCAAAGCCGAACGCGAAGAAACACACUAAAGCGAAAAAUGGCAAAACUCCAAUCUGCUAGCGUUUUUCAAUAUAUGUGCAAGCAAUGAUUACUUACUGGACCUGACUGUCGCUCAUUUAGCGCGAGUUCAACUGGCUUAUCAUUUGCGAAAUUCGGCGGCAUGCGUCUUCAUUAAAAUGUUUACAUAUGAUAAAUAAUGCUUAUUGUACCUCGGUUUAUGUAUUUGUAACAGUUUGGAGAAAAACAUUGUCGUUUAUAAAGCUAAUUAAUGGACUUUAUACACAGUAA